AAAACACCAAGCGCAGAAGUUGAAGAAGGCUCUUUCCGCAAAUGAAGAUGUGCACAGGGAAAAGGAAAUUCACAUUUUUUUCCCCCAGGAAUUGAGAGCCACAAAAAUCAUUUGACAGGACAGCUUGCAGGUAUUUGUCUACCAAUCGACAAUACCAUCAAGGAAAAAAAAUCACAUCUGAUGGAUGAAGGAGUGUCUAAAGUUUCAGAAAUGAGACGUCACAUCAAGUCAUUUAGCAGGAAGGAACUUAGAAUGACUGAUGAAGAAAAUCGACGCUUCUUUCCAUUGGAUAAAGAUAUUAGAAAUCUAAUGAAUUCUUUCAAGGAACAGACACGCACAGGUAAUGGGGGAAAAUAUGCGAAUUGUUGUGUUAUAGUUGUUGCAGAAUUAAUGUUCCUUGAAAUAUAAGUCACAACUAUUCCCACUCCUUCUGCCUGGUGUGCAAGAUAAAUAAUGUGGUGAAAAGAACUGAUGUGCCGAAAGAGAGUCUGAUAUUUCAAAAAAGAGCCUGAUGUGUGAAAACUUCUACUGUGAAUGAUAACUGAUAUACACUGUAUAUAUAGUGAUGUGAAACAAGUCAAAUUUCUACAUGUAUAUCCUAUAUUUUAGACACUGUACAUGAACCUACCUAUCUACUUCUGAGUGAUGUGAA